GUGUUUGUAGCGCAGUGGUUAGCGCGACUGUCUAACAUAGCGGUUGGCUCGGGUUCGAUUCCCGACGGACACC
rnacentral:tRNA from 1 species